rnacentral:rRNA from 1 species
AUUGAACGCUGGCGGCAGGCCUAACACAUGCAAGUCGAACGAGUGGCGGACGGGUGAGUAAUGUCUGGGAAACUGACUGAUGGAGGGGGAUAACUACUGGAAACGGUAGCUAAUACCGCAAACAAUCAGAUUGCCCACGAUGGGAUUAGCGAGUUGGUGGGGUAACGGCUACCCAAGGGGACGCUCCCUAGCUGGUCUGAGAGGUAGACCGGCCACACUGGAACUGAGACACGGUCCAGCCUCCUACGGGAGGCAGCAGUGGGGAAUAUUGCACAAUGGGCGCAAGCCUGAUGCAGCCAUGCCGCGUGUAUGAAGAAGGCCUUCGGGUUGUAAAGUACUUUCAGCGGGGAGGCGUUACCCGCAGAAGAAGCACCGGCUAACUCCGUGCCAGCAGCCGCGGUAAUAC